rnacentral:rRNA from 1 species
UAUGGGUCAAGGCUGCUAGCUAAACGUGCAGUCUUAGCGAUGCCUGGAGGUAGUCUCAAAGGGGACUGAAGUAGGACUGGUCCGUAUCAAGUGGUAGAAAGCCCAGGGUUGCACAUGCGAGAUCCACGCGGAGUACAGCGUUACUGUUGCUCUGCGGGGCCCUCACGCCUCGCUACGUUUUCGUUGCGAGUAGGAGGGAGCUAGCUGCGUUCCAGCUAAAAGAGAAAGUUACGCGGAAAUCCAAAAUA